rnacentral:lncRNA from 1 species
UUUUCUUGUAUCGUAAGUAUCAGUCAUUUUAAUUGAUACCAGUGAAGUUUUUCAAUCAAUUCAGAAAAUUCUGAAUACAUUUGUGUUUAUUUUUUCCCUCUGCUAUUUUUUUUCUUUGAUCUUUUUUUGGAUCUUUAUCGACUACAAUGAAUAUUGUCACAAACUUGAGAACGUAUCUAACAUUUUUUUCUUAUAUUCUUUUCAGAAAAGCAAGACUCCACAGAACUCGAGAAUCACUUAUGGGUUUGUGAAAGAUCUGAAGCAACCGGCUUUGAAGAAGGCUGCCCAGAAACUCAAUGUUGAUGAAUCAAAAUUAGUUUUGAAACAAGAUGAAGAUGUAUUGGACACCUGGUUUUCUCUGGUUUAUUCCCAUUCUCUGAUUUGGCUGGCCGGAACAGACUGAAGAGCUGAAGACAUUCUACCCUGGUACCUUAUUAGAAACUGGACAUGACAUCAUUUUCUUCUGGGUUGCAAGAAUGGUAUUCUUUGGACAAAGAUUGUUGAAUAAAUUGCCUUUCAAGUAAGAUAUAUAUUUAAACAAUCCGUAUCGGGAGCUGUCUCCGUCGUUAUUUUUUUAAUUUGUUAGCUAAGCUUAAGGUUUUCUCAUCAGUGAAUAUUUCUUGGAACCGAAUAAAAUCAUCGGGAAUAAUUAUUUUCUAAAUUGUUACGCAUGCUCUGUUUUACAAGCGAACACGUCUUUUUUUUAAAUGGGAUAUGGAAUUGAUAAUUGAGUAGCCCAAGAUCAAAAGCCUCAAUCUCAAAGAUAUUGAAUCACGUAGACCGGCGUCCGGCUCGGUUUAGUACAGGCGGAGCGCGGCAAGUCUCUCGGAGCCCCAUGAUGGGCGGGCGGGGAAGGGGAAGAGAGAGCGUGUGUCCCAAGCACUGCAGGGAGGCAAUGGAGAAUUCAUGCCCGCGCUCGGUUUUUCACGAAUAUCUCGUUUAGAGUCCAUUUUCAGACAAAAUUCCUAAAAACAAAAGUUUUAGAACACAUAAUUUUACAUCCGAAUUACAUUGUUCAUUUUUCCGAACGAAUUAUUAACCGAGGAAAAA